rnacentral:rRNA from 1 species
AAGGUAAGCCGGAGAGGGUGACAGCCCCGUACGAGUAGAAAAGCUGACUGUUCUUGAGUAAGGCGGAGCACGAGAAAUUCUGUCUGAAAAUGGGGAGACCACUCUCCAAGGCUAAGUACUACUGAUUGACCGAUAGUGAACAAGUACCGUGAGGGAAAGGUGAAAAGCACCCCUAUAAGGGGAGUGAAAGAGAACCUGAAACCGGAUGCCUACAAGCAGUCGGAGGGUCUAUAAGGCCUGACGGCGUACCUUUUGUAUAAUGGGUCAGCGACUUAAUUUAUGUAGCAAGCUUAAGCCGAUAGGUGUAGGCGUAGAGAAAUCGAGUGUUAACAGCGCGUUAAGUUACAUGAAUUAGACCCGAAACCGAGUGAUCUAGCCAUGAUCAGGUUGAAGGUUGGGUAACACCAACUGGAGGACCGAACCCACUCCCGUUGAAAAGGUAGGGGAUGAAUUGUGGCUAGGGGUGAAAGGCCAAUCAAACUCGGAAAUAGCUGGUUCUCCGCGAAAACUAUUUAGGUAGUGCGGUGAGCGGACACCUUGAGGGGUAGAGCACUGGAAGAGCUAAGGGGGAGCGAUCCUUACUAAACUUUACCAAACUCCGAAUACUCAAGAGUGAUACUCACCAGACAGACAUUAGGUGCUAAGGUCUAGUGUCGAGAGGGAAAGAGCCCAGACCGCCAAUUAAGGUCCCAAAAUUAUGGCUAAGUGGUAAAGGAAGUGAAACGUCCAAAACAGUCAGGAGGUUGGCUUAGAAGCAGCCAUCCUUUAAAGAAAGCGUAAUAGCUCACUGAUCUAAACAAGACGUCUUGCGCCGAAGAUGUAACGGGGCUAAAGCCAUAUACCGAAGUUGCGGAUUUACACGUUAAAGUGUAAGUGGUAGCGGAGCGUUCUGUAAGCCUGCGAAGGUGUACCGUAAGGUAUGCUGGAGGUAUCAGAAGUGAGAAUGCUGACAUGAGUAGCGAAAAGAAGAGUGAGAGACUCUUCCGCUGAAAGUCCAAGGUUUCCUGCGUAAAGCUAAUCUGCGCAGGGUUAGUCGGUCCCUAAGGCGAGGCAGAGAUGCGUAGUCGAUGGCAAUCAGGUUAAUAUUCCUGAACCGGCCCGGAAGUGACGGAUUGAGUAAAUUGUAAGUUCUUAUUGGAUUGAGCUUGCAGUGAAUCAGUCCCAGGAAAUAGCCCGGGCUAAGACCGUACCCGAAACCGACACAGGUGGACAGGUAGAGAAUACCAAAGCGUUGAGAGAACUAUGUUGAAGGAACUAGGCAAAAUACUUGCGUAACUUCGGGAUAAGCAAGCCCCAUUUUAAGGCAACUUAGGGUGGGGGGCACAUACUAGGGGGUAGCGACUGUUUACUAAAAACACAGGGCUCUGCUAAAUUGAAAGAUGAAGUAUAGGGUCUGACGCCUGCCCGGUGCUGGAAGGUUAAGGAGAGAUGUGCAAGCAUUGAACUGAAGCCCCAGUAAACGGCGGCCGUAACUAUAACGGUCCUAAGGUAGCGAAAUUCCUUGUCGGGUAAGUUCCGACCUGCACGAAUGGCGUAACGACUUCCCCGCUGUCUCCAACAUAGGCUCAGCGAAAUUGAACUCUGAGUUAAGAUGCUCAGUACCCGCGGUUAGACGGAAAGACCCCGUGAACCUUUACUAUAGCUUUGCAGUGGUAUUAGGUAACAAAUGUGUAGAAUAGGUGGGAUGCUAUGAAGCUACGACGCCAGUUGUAGUGGAGCAGACUUUGAAAUACCACCCUUUUGUUGUUUGAUAUCUAACCUGCUCCCGUUAUCCGGGAGAGGGACCCUGCAUGGUGGGUAGUUUGACUGGGGCGGUCGCCUCCCAAAGAGUAACGGAGGCGCGCAAAGGUUGGCUCAGAUUGGUCAGAAAUCAAUCGUCGAGUGCAAUGGCAUAAGCCAGCCUGACUGCGAGAGAGACAUUUCGAGCAGAUACGAAAGUAGGUCAUAGUGAUCCGGUGGUCCCGAGUGGAAGGGCCAUCGCUCAACGGAUAAAAGGUACUCCGGGGAUAACAGGCUGAUUCCGCCCAAGAGUUCACAUCGACGGCGGAGUUUGGCACCUCGAUGUCGGCUCAUCACAUCCUGGGGCUGGAGAAGGUCCCAAGGGUUCGGCUGUUC